rnacentral:rRNA from 1 species
GACGAACGCUGGCGGCGUGCCUAAUACAUGCAAGUCGAACGCAGUGGGGACGGGUGAGUAACAAGUGGGUAACCUCCCAUCAGAGGGGAUAACACUUGGAAACAGGUGCUAAACCGAUACUGAUGGAUGGACGCGCGGUGCAUUAGCGAGUUGGUUAGGUAACGGCUUACAAAGGCCACGACGAAUAGCCGACCUGAGAGGGUGAUCGGCCACACUGGGACUGAGACACGGCCCAAACUCCUACGGGAGGCAGCAGUAGGGAAUCUUCGACAAUGGACGAAAGUCUGACCGAGCAACGCCGCGUGAGUGAAGAAGGUUUUCGGAUCGUAAAACUCUGUUGUUAGAGAAGCGGUAACUAACCAGAAAGCCACGGCUAACUACGUGCCAGCCGCCGCGGUAAUAC